GCCACUACUAGCGUGUGUGUAAUUCAUGGCAGUUCACUAUUUUUUUUGUUAUGGAGCUAUUCUCUUUCUUUUAUUUUUAUAUAGUAUAGAGCGGUAAGUUAGUGCUGUUCUAAGGAAGUGGUAGCUGUUCCAGUACACAAAGAAGGGAGAUUUGUGUAACCCGAGCUCUUUGAUCAAGACGGUGUGGCCAAAGUCAAUCCUUUGAGAAAAAAGUCAUGUAUUUUCGUUGGCUAUAGUGAUCAGCACAAGGGGUACUGCUGUUAUGAUCCCCGCACGCAGAAAAAACUCAUCUCAAGACAUGUCACAUUUGAUGAAACACGAUUUGCCUCGCUACCCCAUGCGCCUCUUCUCGGGGAGAGAUACACACACGCGCGAUGACUGCUUUGCCACCGCCCACUCUAUGUGCUCCGAUUAGCGUUCCGACGCCUGGCAGUGCACACGGCUCAGAUUCGGUUGACCACGCCCACAUCCGCUUCAGACAUAAAGGACCAUUGGGGUCCGGCCCUAUCGUACUGGAAGUCCCAUGCUUUUCGUUUUUCUUCUCGUGCGUUAGGAUUGAAACCUAAGCUAAUUAAGCUACUAUCUCUGGAGAAUGGUAUCCGUUCAUUUCUGCCUGUCCAUAAGCGUAUAUAGGAUGAAGUCUAAACGAAUGUGCCACUCCCAUUACGGUUAAGGCAUUUGAGAAUAUUAGCAUUGGGCACUCUAACUCGAAGGAAGAAGCCGAAGCCAGUCCAGUAGCUCGAACUCAGACUAUCUACGAAAAAGAUGGAGUGCUUUAGCCCUUAAUCUGCCUUGUUUUGAGAAGCGGGGAGGUAGUUUUGUCAAGCUCGUUAAACGCAACGACAGUCAAGGCUAGGAAGAUUUUCCAGGCCAGCCAACAAAGUGGGAUAUUCUUUGGAAGAAAGCCUGUAUUGUUUGACAAGAUCUUUAGGUCGGUCUCAACACGUUGGCAUCUUCUAUUCCUGACUCAUUGGGGAUAUUAUGCCUUUUGCUUGUCAGAAGUAGACCGACGAUACGGACUAAAGUAAGUCAGAUCUCAAAAUAUUUUAUUUCAUCAUACUCAGUCCUGAAAGAACAAGCAAGGGAUGAGCGCACGCUGGUAGUAGAAGGAAGCGGAGAUGGAGGCAGCUAGGCAUCAGUUUGAGUUCGAGAUCGAGACCAGCUUGAGCCACUAUUGCUAGGACGGGCUUACUUAGACUGAGAACAGAGAUUCUUUUCUCUGCUAUGCUACUUUCCUCUUUCUUCCCUGAGGGCAUUCCUUUCCUGAACAUAGAGCCAAACAGUCUUGCCCGGAACUCUAUCCCCCCGAUUCCUUCCCUUCUUGAAGAAAACGAUACCGAGAACACCAUCCAGGCAAUAGCACUUGAAAAAAUGAAAAUACCAUCUGCGUCAGAAAAUAUUCUAUUGCUAUUCGGGAGAACACAGGCUUCGAAAGCUUACUGCCCGGCCAUGCUACUCUGUUUUGGUUGAAGUACCUUCUGACACUGCUGAUUCCAUCUUUAUAUCGUUCGAGCUAGCCCCAUGACUUCUUGGUCGAGCGCAGCUCUUGUUCGAUUUCUCUUUCUUUGAUCGAGCGCAGCGAGAAGCAAGUCUGGCGAACCUUGUGCUAAAAUUCCUUCUUUUCUUUCUUUCUUGGUUUUGGAUCGGUUUGUUAAAGGUGGGAAAGGUUUGUUUACAAAGGCAUGACUCAACUGCUGCAAACUUAUCAGGAUUGUACCUACCGUGAAAUUCGUGCCGCAUGGCAGUCUUGCAUGUAAAAGGGCCUGUGGUGGUGGUUAUCUAUCAGGCGGGAAGCGCCAAGCCUAUCACGCGGGAAAGACCCCUAACCAACCACCAACUUACCUUCCAACCAAGCCCUUCGAUCCCGCGCUGCUGCUGGGUAUAUAAUCUCGGUCCUCCCCUUACUUUGAAGCCUACAGCUCCACAAUUCGUUUUCCUGUAAUUAAUGGCAAGAAUCCAAAAGAUACUGUUUUUUCUUUUUCUUGUCUUUUUUCUGCUUUUUCAUGGCAUCGAAGCUACGCGAGGGAAAGCGAUGCCGCCCACUCUGCCGCAAAAGGGGGCGGCUUUCUUCUUCCCCAAAAUGACAGUUCCACCAUCAGGGCCCAGCAUGCAGCAGAAUUCUGUGGAGAGGCUGCCACUAAAUGAUGCAAAGCGCCUUGUGCCAUCCGGCGCUAAUCUUCUACAUCACUAGGUUAGCGGGACCUGAAGAAAGACUAAGUCCGUCUGUCGAAAGCUCAGUUGUUGGUUUGGUGAUACUAGUGCUUUCUAGUGUUUGAGUUGUUCAGGAGUCGUUAUAAGUCAGAUUACCUCAUUGUAACGCAGGUGUCCCCUGCUUUCCUUAUUUCCUUUUUUCUUGUAUGAACUUUGGCUUUCUUAAUAAAGCUGGGCGUCUAUCCUGAGUGUGAGCAUUCAUAGUUGUGAACUUGUGAUACUAUUGUUUAACUUGCUGCAAAGACUACUUUUACUUGCAAUUGGUUUAUAAAAUGGUCUGGUGCUUUAGGGGGUCUGCUCCCACAAUUACUUAAGAUCUAGUGCUGUUCUAAAGUCUAAACCAAGGAGCAAAUGAAGAAUUAUCUGUAGUUAGCAGUUGUGUUUUGAGAAGAGUACUUCCUUAUCUGGAGAUUCUAGACAUUUGUUAUCUGGGGAAGUUCACUAAUGAACACAGAAAAGUGAUUAACCUAAUGAAUAUUCUUAUAUCCUUGGUUUGUUAGCAGUUCUGGAUUUUUAAGCCCUUUCUUUGAUUUGAUUAAAUAAGAAAGGACUACUUGGAAAGCGACACAGACACUGGUACAUCAGGAAAACCUUUAGAACUCACCGUUCAACUUGAUCUUCGCAGGAAAAAGCUUCUUCUCUAUUAAGAGCAAAUAUCAAUAAAUAGACCAGCCAGCCGAGUGAACAAAGCCAGCCACAGCUUCUCUCUUCCUUCUAGCUCACGGGGAAGGAAGAAAAGACUUUUCUUAUUCCAAGCCAGCUACGGGACAAGUGAAACGGGCAGUUAGUUCAGUGAGGACAGCAGUUCCAGCAAAGACAGUGGAAUGCCUUGGUAAAGCUGUUCAUUCUCAACGGGAAAGGAUUUCUCUAUUGCAACGGGGCUAGUUUCAACAAGAUCCCCUCGAAGUAGGAAGAAGAAUGGCAAUGAAAAAUAAUAGCAAUAGUCGUCUCGUAGGUGCAGGUGCUGGUGAAAGAAUAGCUUAUGGGGCUGGAGUCAAAGGAGCUUUCAUAGACAUAGAAAUCAUAAUAGAAAGAGCAGGCCUGCGAGCAGCGAGUGCCCUUUGUAAGUUGUGAGCCUGUCAAACCAUAGGCGCCUUACCGCCCCCCCCCUUUAUUUUUAGAAUUAGAAAGAAGGGGAUGAAAGACAAAGAAAGAGAUAAGGUUAUUUAUGAUCGGAGAAAAGGAAGGGGAAGCUGGUGAAUAACUUAACCCAUCCUCGCUGGCUGGAGUUAGAGCUUUCUUAGGUUAGGAAUCCACAUAAGAAAGAAAUUCUCAUCGUUGACCACGAGCCAUUCUAGACAGUGCGGGCGGCAAAGCACUUUUUAAUGGUUUUGGUAGUUCAAUUUCAGUAAAUUAACCAAGGCAUAAGGUAUGUUUAGACGAAUCGGCCCUAUUUAUCACUCUUGCUACCAGUUGCAUAGAAUCUAUCAUAAGCCGUUGUAAACAAAGGAUUUUCCUAUUAAUAAUUGGGCCAACCAACCAAAUAGUAGGGUUUUUCGCACGAUACGGGAGUAGGUCUCUCCAUCUAGGAAAAGCAAAAGCUGGACGAUCGAGAGAAAGUAGUAGGCUCAUAUUCCGGUUCAAGUACAAGUAGAGGAUCACGCCCAAGCCUACAUAGUUCCAUUCCAACCGGAGAGGGGAACUCUCUCAAGAAAUCGACAAGAAAGCAAAGUAAUCGCAAUUCUGAACUUCGCUGAUCCAACAACACCAGUUCCUCGAUCUUGAGAGUAGUACAGGUACUUCGGAAUCUGGAGCAAGCAGGUUUCAUUCCUGGUAAAGGUGAUUGGUCGGUACUCCCUUCUGCCAACCCACGAGCUAAAGGAAAAGGAAAGAGGAGAAGGAAGUAGACAAAAGUCGUGAUUUCUUCAUUACCGGAGCCUUCUCGGGUAGUCUACUUAUGACAUGGCUCGUUCAGAGGGCUCUUCGCGCUGUCUUCAAUAUUACUAUUUGUCCAAACCAACCAGUAGUAGAAAUUCAGAAAUGGUAAGAUUUGAGACUAUGAAAGACCCGUUUGUUUACCAAAGUCGAACAUACAUACGACGAUCUUCAUGCGUGAAGGGACGGGAGGAAAGAAAGAAUUAAUACAACUAUGUUGUCAACUAUUUAUGCUCAUUGCUAGAGUGAAAUAAGUUUCUUCAUGCGCUUACGAAUAAGCAAAAAGAAUAGAUUCUUACUCAAAUAGUUUGGUUUGUAGUGUAGUUUUAUUUCUUGACUCUAGUAGUGUAGUUAGCAUGCCUUCCGUUCCUUGCUUGCUUAUGCACUUUUUAAUUAAAGACGACCUUUCAAUUAAUUAUUGACUGGAUAAAGUAGUAUUAGUUAAUAUACGCUGAUUCAGACAAAUCACAAAUAAGAGACAGUCUUUUUUUUUUCGAUACUGUAUGCUAGGACAGACCUGUAGGUGAGCACAAGCACAGCCAGCCUUCCACCUCUUUAUACUUAUGUUUAGCAGUGUACCUGGUCUUACUUCCUUCUUUUUCAGUUUACGCUUGUGUCCCAAGCUUGCAAGUUCGAAGAAUAGUAUUGUAUUGACCUGAAUCAAGUCUAGCCUAUUAUUGCAGGGCAAAAGCAGUUUGAUAGGAAGAAGUCCUCUACCGAAAAGUAGUUACGAAAGGAGGAGUUUUCUUGCAUAAGUUGUUGACGUUGCUUCCGGAGAAGUAGUUAGUUUCCAGAACAGAGCGAGAAAGAAGAGAAAGAGAGGUACGCACUGUGAAAGAAGCCCUCUAACCCAUUUCUCUGGUCCUAUAUGUUUUUUUUGCAAGUACCAUUCCUGCUAUUCGCAUUGAUUGAGU